rnacentral:misc_RNA from 1 species
GUAGGUGAACCUGCGGAAGGAUCAUUAACACGAAUUUUAUCCAAUAUCAAACCAAACGUGAACUUUUCCCCUCCCUAUUCAAGUGUUUAUCACUUGUUUAGGCUAAACACUUUUUUACUCUAUAUAUAAUAGUAUUAUACUAUUGUAUAUAUAGUUUUUAACCCCAUCAAUAACUUAACUCUAGUUUGGACGAGGUUUUCCUCUUCAACUACUAACACUAAAAAUAUCAUAUCUCUUAAUUGAGUAUGGU